GACAGAGGAUGCAAGCGUUAUCCGGAAUGAUUGGGCGUAAAGCGUCUGUAGGUGGCUUUUUAAGUCCGCCGUCAAAUCCCAGGGCUCAACCCUGGACAGGCGGUGGAAACUACCAAGCUGGAGUACGGUAGGGGCAGAGGGAAUUUCCGGUGGAGCGGUGAAAUGCGUAGAGAUCGGAAGGAACGCCCGUGGCGAAAGCGAGGUCCUGGACGCCUACUGACGCUGAGACGCGAAAGCCAGGGGAGCGAACGGG
rnacentral:rRNA from 1 species